rnacentral:lncRNA from 1 species
UGGGAUAAUUGGAGAACUCUAUUAAGCAUCAUGAUAGCUUAUUUAUGUAAGAGUGGAUUUGGUCAUAAUUCCAUCCCUUAAGUGGUUUUAUUUAAUAAAGUAAUGUUAACUAUUAAUGUCAUCACUGGAGUUAGUACUCACACAUCACUAUUCUUUUCUCUGAUCACUUUCUCAAUCCUACCUCAUCAUGUGACCAAAACAUGUCUAUUUGAGUUGAAAGUGUUUUUGCCAUGUUAGACACUUUCCUGCUAAGAGACAGGAUAUUGAGCAAACUUCUUAAUAAGUUAGUGUUGCUAUUUUAUUUAUAUAUGUAUAUAUACCUACACAUAUACACACACACAUUAUUUUGCUGUGGCUACUUUUAAUUUUAUAGAAUCCAUUUUUGUUGAGGCCCUCCUCAUAGGCAGUUAUUU